UUGAAUUUUUCAUUGUGUUAAACUUCAUAGGUGGCUGGGAUUGUUGGCAGAGCUGACGUGUUAGCGUGUCUCCUGUUCCUGUUGGCGUUCCUCUCCUACAAUAGUUUGUUUCUGGGGACCUGUGCAAUGCUGGUGAAAGAGACGGGAAUCACCGUGUUUGGAGUGUGCUUGGUUUAUGACCUCUUCUCCCUCUCCCACAACCAUACAUGACGAGCAACGGGGUCAUCCAUCAGCAUGGCCUACAGCAGCCUGGGAGCCCCCAGCCCUCCUCACUGGCAGCCCACUCCCACCGGGAGAACGGGAAGCAGCGGUUCCCUCACAAGGGAGUGUGGGGUGGCUGCCAUUCCUCACUUCCACCAGCACCCAAGAGCAGUGGAUUCCCGGUGUCACCGCGAGCUGUGUGGUCCCUGAUGAGGUACUGGCCUGGGUUUCUUGGCUGUGCAUGUUUUCAGUGUCCAGUAUCUUAUAGUGCCACCUGUGAUGCUGGAAAAUUAAAGCAUUGAGUCGACUCUUUGAGAUCCCCUUCUCUCCACAUUUCCCUCCUUUUCCUUUCCUUCUCUCCCUUCUUCCUCCCUUCCUUCUUAGCCUA
rnacentral:lncRNA from 1 species